GAUGAACGCUGGCGGCGUGCCUAAUACAUGCAAGUCGAGCGAACAGACGAGGAGCUUGCUCCUCUGACGUUAGCGGCGGACGGGUGAGUAACACGUGGAUAACCUACCUAUAAGACUGGGAUAACUUCGGGAAACCGGAGCUAAUACCGGAUAAUAUAUUGAACCGCAUGGUUCAAUAGUGAAAGACGGUUUUGCUGUCACUUAUAGAUGGAUCCGCGCCGCAUUAGCUAGUUGGUAAGGUAACGGCUUACCAAGGCGACGAUGCGUAGCCGACCUGAGAGGAUGAUCGGCCACACUGGAACUGAGACACGGUCCAGACUCCUACGGGAGGCAGCAGUAGGGAAUCUUCCGCAAUGGGCGAAAGCCUGACGGAGCAACGCCGCGUGAGUGAUGAAGGUCUUCGGAUCGUAAAACUCUGUUAUUAGGGAAGAACAAAUGUGUAAGUAACUAUGCACGUCUUGACGGUACCUAAUCAGAAAGCAACGGCUAACUACGUG
rnacentral:rRNA from 1 species